UGUCCUCGCGUGCGCAGGAAACGCAGCAACUGUGGAGGCACUAGAAAGCCCACCCGAAGGGACUUUGCGAUCCUGGCUCAUCCCCAGGACUUGGAUGCACUCAGCUCUUGGUAUGUCUGGCAAAGGUAGAUGGAGGAUCUGAGGGUCGGAAGUGAUGGCUCGUACUAGCUAAACCCACCAUUGCCUUUUGCUUUUAAAAGAUUCAGACAGGAGCUUUUCUGACCCCAGAAGGUGAGAGUUGGAGUCUCUGUUUGCUGAUGUCCUUCCACCAUCUUGAGGCUGGACCUCUCGUAGUAUCGGUUACACACAUACCUUACGGGACAGGCCGUGCUCUGCAGCUGCUCGGCAGGACACAGGUGGUCUCGGCUGCUCUCUGUGAGCUUUAUUUGCACAUUCCUCGGCAGCAGCCGGAGGAGCUGUUGUAAUUUGGUUCAUCCCUGAAAGCACUGCCUGCCUGUUAUGUGUCCUCUAGUGAAACACCCCAAGUUCGCCGGUUCCCAGAGAACAGGCUCUGUGUCCGUUCUCCUGCAGAGCCAGCGUUCCUCCUCUUCCUUCAUCCACCUGUGUUUCCAGCACAUCCAGGUAACGAACCCCUCUGUCUUGGAGUGCCCAAUCUGCUGAGGGUCUCCCUGAGUUUGGCUUUAGUCCUUGCCUCUCUACUGCCUCCCCACCCUGCCAGACGAUGCCUGUGCUUGGUGUUGUGCUUUCCUGAGCCUCGUGAGUGGAGCGGGCCAUAAGGAUGCCAGCGUUGGCACUGCCCUGCUGAGUGCUCCAGAGGUGUGUGCAGCUGCUCGGCCUGAGCCUUGGCUCUCACUUGUGCGAUGGUGAGGGUAGAUAGCAGGGAGGAGGCAGGCUCCAAGGUGCCCGUGGCCUUGCAGUGGGUGGUGGUAGUCACACACUAUGUCCCUCCACUCCUUUGCUGAACCCAAGCAGAUUAGUCCGAUGCCCUGCUAGAUUGAGACCUGUAAUUUCUUGAAUACAAAGCACCAUGUGCUAUUCCUCCUUCUCUCUAGCUGCAAAGCAGGAUGCUUUUCCUUACAUGCCCCCUGUUCCCUGACCCUAGGCUGGAAGUUGCUGGUGGCAUGAGCAGCAGGGGCCAGCGCCCUGCCUCUCCCAGUAGGAUUGCUCCAGCCCUGGGGCCUGGUCUGUGUCCUGCUUUGUCUCCUGUCCCAGGGUUCCCAUGUAACUCAGUGAUAUCCCAGCACAUCUGGCAGCAGCCUCUCUCUGCCCAGCUGUGGGCCCCUGUGGGCUGGUCCGAGCUGGUCUCUGUUCUGAGCAUGAGGGUCUCGUUUGAUCACGGGAUAAAUGUCUUCUGCCAUAGCCAGGCUGUGCAUCUCUGUUCCCCUCUCUGCCAGCCUCCAUGCCUGUCUCCUCCCUUCUGUCACAUACCCAUGGCCACCUUCCCUUUUCCCUGUUGUGCAGGGAUGACUCAGCCCCUGGUGCUCCUGGAGGCUUGUAGUGCAGAGAGGCCCCUUCAGCCCAGCUGCAGCUAUGGUCCCUGCACAGCAGCAGCAUCCUGCUUCAAAUCGGCUUGCGCAGUGGAGCUCCCACGCGGGCGCUGCCUCCCUCUGCACACCCCUUCCCUUGGCAGUGAGCGCUGCACCGCUGCUCUGUGCCUUGUCCUGGGUACCCCUUCCUUCAGCCCCUCCCCAAUAAACCCUGUAUCACCAGGGCAUUCCCAGCGAAGAAAAAUUUGGGGGGUUAGUUUAACCUUCCCAACCCCGGCUGCCUCCCAGGAGCUUGGUCUUGUGACGUAUCUAGUUCUGGCAGGUAAGGAAGAAUGUGCACUCCCACACCAAGUUCCUCUAGUAAGGACUUAAUGGAGCCAGUGUUUCAGUUAGGAAACCCACUGUUGAUCCAAAUAUGCAACUGUGAAAGCCAGAAGUCCCUGGCUGGGGGCAGCUGGGGCCCAGCCCUGUGCUGCUGCGCAGCCACGGCUUCACUCUCAGCUUUGUCGUCUUUAUCGUAGUUGCCAAUAAUUGGAGUUGUUGCAUGUGCCCCUGCAAAACCCAACAGCGACUCUUUGAGUCUUCUCCUCCUUCCCGGAGGAGAUGUUCUGCUCGUGGACGUGGGAAAUCAGUGUCUCUAACCCACUACGUUCCAGUGUCAUGGGGAAACGGGCUGUGCAAUUAUGUAAAUAAAAGUGAGACAAACU